rnacentral:rRNA from 1 species
AUGCACGCUGGCGGCGUGCCUAAUACAUGCAAGUCGCGCGAACGGACGAGAAGCUUGCUUCUCUGAUGUUAGCGGCGGACGGGUGAGUAACACGUGGAUAACCUACCUAUAAGACUGGGAUAACUUCGGGAAACCGUAGCUAAUACCGGAUAAUAUUUUGAACCGCAUGGUUCAAAAGUGAAAGACGGUCUUGCUGUCACUUAUAGAUGGAUCCGCGCUGCAUUAGCUAGUUGGUAAGGUAACGGCUUACCAAGGCAACGAUGCAUAGCCGACCUGAGAGGGUGAUCGGCCACACUGGAACUGAGACACGGUCCAGACUCCUACGGGAGGCAGCAGUAGGGAAUCUUCCGCAAAGGGCGAAAGCCUGACGGAGCAACGCCGCGUGAGUGAUGAAGGUCUUCGGAUCGUAAAACUCUGUUAUUAGGGAAGAACAUAUGUGUAAGUAACUGUGCACAUCUUGACGGUACCUAAUCAGAAAGCCACGGCUAACUACGUG